UACGGAGGGGGCUAGCGUUGUUCGGAAUUACUGGGCGUAAAGCGCACGUAGGCGGACUGUUAAGUCGGGGGUGAAAUCCCGGGGCUCAACCCCGGAACUGCCUUCGAUACUGGCAGUCUAGAGGAAGGUAGAGGCUAGUGGAAUGGCGAGUGUAGAGGUGAAAUUCGUAGAUAUUCGCCGGAACACCAGUGGCGAAGGUGACUGGCUGGACCUUUUUUGACUAUGAGGUGCGAAAGCGUGGGGAGCAAACAGG
rnacentral:rRNA from 1 species